ACCAAGACUAGAGUCACAUUCUGACACAGCUAUUUGUCCCGGUGUGCUAGAGUUCUCAGAGAGAAUCUCUUGGUCUUGAUUCACUGGUGGGGGUGGUCAGUGUUCCUGCUAGUGCCCAAUCAGAAACAUGU
rnacentral:snoRNA from 1 species